rnacentral:rRNA from 1 species
GUGCCAGCCGCCGCGGUAAUACCGGCAGCUCAAGUGAUGGCCGCUGUUAUUGGGCCUAAAGCGUCCGUAGCCGGCCGCACAAGUCCGUCGGGAAAUCCACCCGCCUAACGGGUGGGCGUCCGGCGGAAACUGUGCGGCUUGGGACCGGAGGACUCGAGGGGUACGUCCGGGGUAGGAGUGAAAUCCCGUAAUCCUGGACGGACCGCCGGUGGCGAAAGCGCCUCGAGAGGACGGAUCCGACGGUGAGGGACGAAAGCGAGGGUCUCGAACCGGAUUAGAUACCCGAGUAGUCC